rnacentral:rRNA from 1 species
UAACACUAACUGGAGGACCGAACCGACUAAUGUUGAAAAAUUAGCGGAUGACCUGUGGCUGGGGGUGAAAGGCCAAUCAAACCGGGAGAUAGCUGGUUCUCCCCGAAAGCUAUUUAGGUAGCGCCUCGUGAAUUCAUCUCCGGGGGUAGAGCACUGUUUCGGCUAGGGGGCCAUCCCGGCUUACCAACCCGAUGCAAACUGCGAAUACCGGAGAAUGUUAUCACGGGAGACACACGGCGGGUGCUAACGUCCGUCGUGAAGAGGGAAACAACCCAGACCGCCAGCUAAGGUCCCAAAGUCAUGGUUAAGUGGGAAACGAUGUGGGAAGGCCCAGACAGCCAGGAUGUUGGCUUAGAAGCAGCCAUCAUUUAAAGAAAGCGUAAUAGCUCACUGGUCGAGUCGGCCUGCGCGGAAGAUGUAACGGGGCUAAACCAUGCACCGAAGCUGCGGCAGCGACACUGUGUGUUGUUGGGUAGGGGAGCGUUCUGUAAGCCUGUGAAGGUGUGUCGUGAGGCAUGCUGGAGGUAUCAGAAGUGCGAAUGCUGACAUAAGUAACGAUAAAGCGGGUGAAAAGCCCGCUCGCCGGAAGACCAAGGGUUCCUGUCCAACGUUAAUCGGGGCAGGGUGAGUCGACCCCUAAGGCGAGGCCGAAAGGCGUAGUCGAUGGGAAACGGGUUAAUAUUCCCGUACUUGGUGUUACUGCGAAGGGGGGACGGAGAAGGCUAUGUUGGCCGGG